GCCUACGGGGGGCAGCAGUGAGGAAUAUUGGUCAAUGGUCGGGAGACUGAACCAGCCAAGCCGCGUGAGGGAUGAAGGUACAGAGUAUCGUAAACCUCUUUUGUCAGGGAACAAAGGCGGGGACGCGUCCCCGGAUGAGUGUACCUGAAGAAAAAGCAUCGGCUAACUCCGUGCCAGCAGCCGCGGUAAUACGGAGGAUGCGAGCGUUAUCCGGAUUUAUCGGGUUUAAAGGGUGCGCAGGCGGUCUGUUAAGUCAGCGGUCAAAGCCCGGGGCUCAACCCCGGCCAGCCGUUGAAACUGGACGG
rnacentral:rRNA from 1 species